AAAUGAAUAGACGGGGGCCCGCACAAGCGGUGGAGCAUGUGGUUUAAUACGUCACUAACCGUAGAACCUUACCCAGGCUUGACAUCCAGGGAAUCCUGAUGAAAGUCGGGAGUGCCUUUUGGAGCCCUGAGACAGGUGUUGCAUGGCUGUCGUCAGCUCGUGUCGUGAGAUGUUGGGUUAAGUCCCGCAACGAGCGCAACCCUCAUCCGAUGUUGCCAGCGUAGAGUCGGGAACUCUUCGGAAACUGCCCGUGUAAGCGGGAGGAAGGUGGGGAUGACGUCAAGUCAGCAUGGCCCUUACGCCUGGGGCUACACACAUGCUACAAUGGACGCUAACAAAGGGCAGCAAUACCGCGAGGUGGAGCGAAUCUCAAAAAUGCGUCCUCAGUUCGGAUUGUAGUCUGCAACUCGACUACAUGAAGUCGGAAUCGCUAGUAACCGCAGGUCAGCUAAACUGCGGUGAAUACGUUCCCGGGCCUUGUACACACCGCCCGU
rnacentral:rRNA from 1 species